UUGUUAUUAUUAUUAUUAUUAUUAUUAUUAAUAUGUAGUUUGUGUACAUAUAUACAUAUAAGAUGUAUUAUAAACGUGUUCUCAUAAUUAAGCAUUAUUCACAGUUAACUGUGUAUUACUAAACUAUUCUUUUAUUCGGUUUUUCUUUUUUUUCCUUCGGUAGAAACAAAACUGAUAAUAUCAUUGUAUACCAUUCGUUAUUUUACCUAAUUUAUUGUAUUUAGCUUUGAAAUUAGCUUUAGAUUUGUUUGUAACAAUCGAAUAAUGAUAUUUAAAAUUAUUUGUCAAAAUUGAAGAGAGAAAAAUGAUUAGGAAAUAAAAUGAAAUUAAAAGAAAAAUAUUUCUCAUACGUAUGAAUUGUACCACAUAAUGAAUAUUUGGAUAAGUUUUUCAAAAUGUCUAUUCAAAAUACAGCACUAGCCAUUAAGAUAGGAUAUAUAUUAGCAUGGACUUUUAUUGCCAGUUAUUAUUUUUUAUGGGGAGCAAGUGAAGCGGCAGAAGCAAUAAAUUACGUGGAUGAAUCUGGCUGGGUUCCAGAUGGAGCUUACGCUUAUAAUAUGGCACGAGAAGUAGUACAUGAACAAACAUUAGCCGAAGAAUGAAAUAAAUCUAACUUAAUAUAAAGGUUUUUCAAAAUAUAUAUUUAUAUUUGUGAAAUAAUAUUGAUUUAACGAAAUAAUGAACAUUUGUACACUACGUUCUAUAAUGUUGAGAAACGGUCUUAUAGAAAUUUAGGAUUCUACAUUAGAUGCAUGGUAAAGAAAUAAAAAAUUGUAAACUUA